CAUUACUGGAUGUAUUAUUGAUGUGGAGCUCUGUUAUACACUCAGACACAUUACUGGGAGUAUUAUAGCUGUGAAGCUCUGUUAUACACUCAGACACAUUACUGAGAGUAUUAUUGCUGUGGAGCUCUGUUAUACACUCAGACACAUUACUAGGAGUAUUAUUGCUGUGGAGCUCUGUUAUACACUCAGACACAUUACUGGGAGUAUUAUUGUUGUGGAGCUCUGUUAUACGCUCAGACACAUUACUGGGAAUAUUAUUGUUGUGGAGCUCUGUUAUAUGCUCAGACACAUUACUGGGAGUAUUAUUGCUGCGGAGCUCUGUUAUAAGCUCAGACACAUUACUAGGAGUAUUAUUGCUGUGGAGCUCUGCUAUACGCUCAGACACAUUACUGGGAGUAUUAUUGCUGCGGAGCUCUGUUAUACACUCCGACACAUUACUGGGGUAUUAUUGCUG